GACACCAACUAGAGUGUGAUCAUUUCAAAGGUUGGGACUCAUUGUACACAACACCAAAACUCAACAUGUCAAGGGGUAUUAUUGCAUUAAUUCUGUUACUGCACUGGAGCCAAGACACUGAGGGUGCAGAUGAUGUUAUUCAAAAGCCUGAAAUGAUUUGGAAACCAAAGAGUGGUUCUGCUUCUUUGAACUGCAGUCACAAUAAGGGUAGUUCAUACUACCAGAUGUACUGGUACCGACAACGUCCAGGAGAGACUAUGCAGCUCAUUGUAUUCCAUACGACUGAUAAAGCAGAGUUUGGAGAUGUUGAUGAGAAGAAAUUUGAUGCUCAAAAAAGUGAUGCUGAAAGUGGAUCUUUGAAAGUGAAAGAUCUAAAGCCUGAAGACAGUGGCAUAUAUUUCUGUGCAGUGAGUGAACACAGUGUGUCAAAGGCUGGAGAGUGCUGUACAAAAACAUUACUGCAUAAAAAGAUCAGUGAUAGUAUGAGUCAACAGGUGGCAGUCUGGUACCACCAAUAUGCCACAUGUCAAAACAAUCGAGCUGAAAUGAAACAAUUAGAAAUAUCAUGGGUCCAAGUAACAGUUUAUUGA